rnacentral:rRNA from 1 species
UACGGAGGGAGCUAGCGUUGCUCGGAAUUACUGGGCGUAAAGGGCACGUAGGCGGCUUUGUAAGUUAGAGGUGAAAGCCCGGGGCUCAACUCCGGAACUGCCUUUAAGACUGCAUCGCUUGAAUCCAGGAGAGGUGAGUGGAAUUCCGAGUGUAGAGGUGAAAUUCGUAGAUAUUCGGAAGAACACCAGUGGCGAAGGCGGCUCACUGGACUGGUAUUGACGCUGAGGUGCGAAAGCGUGGGGAGCAAACAGG